rnacentral:rRNA from 1 species
UGGGGAAUAUUGGACAAUGGGGGCAACCCUGAUCCAGCAAUGCCGCGUGUGUGAAGAAGGUUUUCGGAUUGUAAAGCACUUUCGACGGGGACGAUGAUGACGGUACCCGUAGAAGAAGCCCCGGCUAACUUCGUGCCAGCAGCCGCGGUAAUACGAAGGGGGCUAGCGUUGCUCGGAAUGACUGGGCGUAAAGGGCGUGUAGGCGGUUUGUACAGUCAGAUGUGAAAUCCCCGGGCUUAACCUGGGAGCUGCAUUUGAUACGUGCAGACUAGAGUGUGAGAGAGGGUUGUGGAAUUCCCAGUGUAGAGGUGAAAUUCGUAGAUAUUGGGAAGAACACCGGUGGCGAAGGCGGCAACCUGGCUCAUAACUGACGCUGAGGCGCGAAAGCGUGGGGAGCAAACAGGAUUAGAUACCCUGGUAGUCCACGCUGUAAACGAUGUGUGCUAGAUGUUGGGUAACUUAGUUAUUCAGUGUCGCAGUUAACGCGUUAAGCACACCGCCUGGGGAGUACGGCCGCAAGGU